GACGAACGCUGGCGGCGUGCUUAACACAUGCAAGUCGAACGGAAAGGCCCUGCUUUUGUGGGGUGCUCGAGUGGCGAACGGGUGAGUAACACGUGAGUAACCUGCCCUUGACUUUGGGGUAACUUCAGGAAACUGGGGCUAAUACCGGAUAGGAGCUCCUGCUGCAUGGUGGGGGUUGGAAAGUUUCGGCGGUAGGGGAUGGACUCGCGGCUUAUCAGCUUGUUGGUUGGGUAGUGGCUUACCAAGGCUUUGACGGGUAGCCGGCCUGAGAGGGUGACCGGCCACAUUGGGACUGAGAUACGGCCCAGACUGCUACGGGAGGCAGCAGUGGCGAAUAUUGCACAAUGGGCGGAAGCGUGAGGCAGCAACGCCGCGUGCGGGAUGACGGCCUUCGGGUUGUAAACCGCUUUCGCCUGUGACGAAGCGUGAGUGACGGUAAUGGGUAAAGAAGCACCGGCUAACUACGUG
rnacentral:rRNA from 1 species